rnacentral:sRNA from 1 species
AAGCAAUUCAUUCCGUCAGAUGUUCCGGUCAACAAGGAUGUGGUGCUUUUUAACCGUGGGAUGCUGCCAGCCUACUAUGGCAUUCUGAGGCUCUGCUGUGAGCAGUCUCCUGCAUUCACACGACAACUGGCUUCUCACCAGAACAUCCAGUGGGCCUUUAAGAAUCUUACACCACAUGCCAGCCAAUACCCUGGAGCAGUAGAAGAACUGUUUAACCUGAUGCAGCUGUUUAUAGCUCAGAGGCCAGAUAUGAGAGAAGAAGAAUUAGAAGAUAUUAAACAGUUCAAGAAAACAACCAUAAGUUGUUACUUACGUUGCUUAGAUGGCCGCUCCUGCUGGACAACUUUAAUAAGUGCCUUCAGAAUACUAUUAGAAUCUGAUGAAGACAGACUUCUUGUUGUAUUUAAUCGAGGGUUGAUUCUAAUGACAGAGUCUUUCAACACUUUGCACAUGAUGUAUCACGAAGCUACAGCUUGCCAUGUGACUGGAGAUUUAGUAGAACUUCUGUCAAUAUUUCUUUCGGUUUUGAAG